rnacentral:rRNA from 1 species
GGGGAUCGAGUCUACAACUCCCAACCCCUGUGAACAUACCUAUCGUUGCUUCGGCGGGACCGCCCCGGGCGCCUUUCGAGGUGCCCCGGAACCAGGCGCCCGCCGGGGACACCAAACUCUUGAUUGUUAUAGUGGCAUUCUCUGAGUAAAUCAUACAAAUAAAUCAAAACUUUCAACAACGGAUCUCUUGGCUCUGGCAUCGAUGAAGAACGCAGCGAAAUGCGAUAAGUAAUGCGAAUUGCAGAAUUCAGUGAAUCAUCGAAUCUUUGAACGCACAUUGCGCCCGCCAGUAUUCUGGCGGGCAUGCCUGUCUGAGCGUCAUUUCAACCCUCGUACCACGGUUCGCCGCGGGACGGUGUUGGGGAUCGGCCGCCCGUCACUGGGAGGCCGGCCCCGAAAUAGAGUGGCGACCACGCCGUGUGCUCCUCUGCGUAGUAGUAAAAUCACCUCGCAGGCGGACAGCGGUGCGGCCUGCCGUAAAACCCCCAACUCUUUCCAUGGUUGACCUCAGAUCAGGUAGGAAUACCCGCUGAACUUAAGCAUAUCAA